GGAGAUCUUGUGGAGUGUGACAUGUUGGCGAGGUCUGUCUGACUCAGGAAGUGAAAGUGCUGCUCAUUGAGAUGGAAAGCCCCAGAAAGGGGCAUUAGAGUGAGCUCGGUUGCUGUCACCUUCAUGCCCCCUUCCUGGAAACUCCCUGGGAACCGCAGUGGGGAGGGCAGCUGAGCGGCUAUGGAUUCACAAAGGAGCCUCUUCCACCAGCUUGACAAGAUGCUUCCAGAUGUAAGCAGUGCAUUCCUAACAAGAAGUAUGGAUGAAAUCUACACUAUACUACCGGUACUACAUACCCUACAUUCUGACUCCUGAUGUUCAACUCCAGACUCUGAAAGCUGACAACCCAAGCAUUGAACUUGCUUAAUGCUAUGAAGAUUCCUGUAGAGACUUGAGCCGAAGAAGCUAGGUAAAGGGGGAAGAAAUCUGAUUUACAUCUGUUUCUUAAAAAGGGAACAUUCCAGUGUACCAGAACUUCCAUGGGGUACCCUGAAGUGUGAUAAUUUGGGACACUGACCUAUAUCUUGGAAGCAUUUUUUGGACCAUCUUUUGGCUUGUUUUACUUCUCGUAGAUUGUUAAACAAGCUUGCAGUCUCCAAGUGGAGCAGCUAGAAACAGUUAAAGUGAGAGCUGAAAUCCCAGAAACCUGGCUACUCAUUCAUUGCAAGAAACUUGUGGAUUUCCAUGUUCAGCGGUCUACCUGCCUGUUCCCAGGGAAUGAUGAAGAUGGUGGAAGACAGGAAUUGUGUGUGUGUGUGUG